CUGCAAUGACUGGUUGGUAGUUCUUUAUCGGAAUCAUUGAAGAAAAAAAAGAAUUUUUUAAUACUGAUAGCAGA
rnacentral:snoRNA from 1 species